UGGCGGCGAGUGGCGAACGGGUGAGUAAUAUAUCGGAACGUGCCCAGUAGUGGGGGAUAGCCCGGCGAAAGCCGGAUUAAUACCGCAUACGACCUACGGGUGAAAGGGGGGGAUCGCAAGACCUCUCGCUAUUGGAGCGGCCGAUAUCAGAUUAGGUAGUUGGUGGGGUAAAGGCCUACCAAGCCUGCGAUCUGUAGUUGGUCUGAGAGGACGACCAGCCACACUGGGACUGAGACACGGCCCAGACUCC
rnacentral:rRNA from 1 species